rnacentral:rRNA from 1 species
CCAGACUCCUACGGGAGGCAGCAGUGGGGAAUAUUGCACAAUGGGGGAAACCCUGAUGCAGCGACGCCGCGUGAGUGAAGAAGUAUUUCGGUAUGUAAAGCUCUAUCAGCAGGGAAGAAGUUGACGGUACCUGAGUAAGAAGCCCCGGCUAACUACGUGCCAGCAGCCGCGGUAAUACGUAGGGGGCAAGCGUUAUCCGGAAUUACUGGGUGUAAAGGGAGCGUAGACGAUGAAGUAAGUCUGGAGUGAAAGGCGGGGGCCCAACCCCCGGACUGCUCUGGAAACUAUUUGACUGGAGUGCGGGAGAGGUAAGCGGAAUUCCUAGUGUAGCGGUGAAAUGCGUAGAUAUUAGGAGGAACACCAGUGGCGAAGGCGGCUUACUGGACUGUAACUGACGUUGAGGCUCGAAAGCGUGGGGAGCAAACAGGAUUAGAUACCCGGGUAG